CCUACGGGUGGCUGCAGUGGGGGAUAUUGCACAAUGGGGGGAACCCUGAUGCAGCGACGCCGCGUGGGUGAAGAAGGGCCUCGGCGCGUAAAGCUCUGUCAGUAGGGAAGAAAAUGACGGUACCUGAAGAAGAAGCCCCGGCUAACUACGUGCCAGCAGCCGCGGUAAUACGGAGGGGGCCAGCGUGAUCCGGAUUUACUGGGUGUAAAGGGGGCGCAGACGGCGAGGCAAGCCAGGAGUGAAAGCCCGGGGCCCAACCCCGGGACUGCUCUUGGAACUGGGUGGCUGGAGUGCAGGAGGGGCAGGCGGAAUUCCUGGUGUAGCGGUGAAAUGCGUAGAUAGCAGGAGGAACUCCGGUGGCGAAGGCGGCCUGCUGGACUGCAACUGACGUUGAGGCCCGAAAGCGUGGGGAGCAAACAGGAUUAGAUACCCGGGUAGUC
rnacentral:rRNA from 1 species